rnacentral:rRNA from 1 species
GCACCCAGGCCGAGGCAGUGGCAGCCACCGGUGGCGAACUGUGCGAAAGUAAACGUCGACGCUGCGGUCUCUCGUCAUGGAGGCUAUGGUGCAGUAGGAGCAAUCAACAGAAAUGCAACAGGUAGGUUUUUGGGAGGCUCAGUGCUAGUUUUUCGGCACAUUGCCGAUCCACAAGUUCUUGAGGCCCUGGCUGUGUGGGAGGCACUAGCCCUCUCGAAUGAUCUAUACCUAAGGCGUCUCCAUGUGGCCUCAGACUGCAAAGUUGUCAUUGGAGACAUCCAGAAGGAGAAUGCACCCAGUUAUGGAGCAAUCAUACAUGAAAUCUUAGAUCACUCUUCGUCUUUUGAUUUUUGUAAAUUUAGUCAUGAAUUUAGGAGCUCAAACUUUGAAGCUCACACUCUCACGAAGCAUGCACUUUCUCUAGGGGGUGGCCGCCGUGUUUGGUUAGGUCACCCCGGAGAUCUGCCAUCCGUCCCUGUAAACAUUGUGACGACUUAA